GAUGAACGCUGGCGGCGUGCCUAAUACAUGCAAGUCGAGCGAACAGACGAGGAGCUUGCUCCUCUGACGUUAGCGGCGGACGGGUGAGUAACACGUGGAUAACCUACCUAUAAGACUGGGAUAACUUCGGGAAACCGGAGCUAAUACCGGAUAAUAUAUUGAACCGCAUGGUUCAAUAGUGAAAGACGGUUUUGCUGUCACAUAUAGAUGGAUCCGCGCCGCAUUAGCUAGUUGGUAAGGUAACGGCUUACCAAGGCGACGAUGCGUAGCCGACCUGAGAGGGUGAUCGGCCACACUGGAACUGAGACACGGUCCAGACUCCGACGGGAGGCAGCAGUAGGGAAUCUUCCGCAAUGGGCGAAAGCCUGACGGAGCAACGCCGCGUGAGUGAUGAAGGUCUUCGGAUCGUAAAACUCUGUUAUUAGGGAAGAACAAAUGUGUAAGUAACUAUGCACGUCUUGACGGUACCUAAUCAGAAAGCCACGGCUAACUACGUG
rnacentral:rRNA from 1 species